GACGAAUGCUGGCGGCGUGCCUAAUACAUGCAAGUUGAGCGAUGAAGAUUGGUGCUUGCACCAAUUUGAAGAGCAGCGAACGGGUGAGUAACGCGUGGGGAAUCUGCCUUUGAGCGGGGGACAACAUUUGGAAACGAAUGCUAAUACCGCAUAACAACUUUAAACAUAAGUUUUAAGUUUGAAAGAUGCAAUUGCAUCACUCAAAGAUGAUCCCGCGUUGUAUUAGCUAGUUGGUGAGGUAAAGGCUCACCAAGGCGAUGAUACAUAGCCGACCUGAGAGGGGGAUGGGCCACAUUGGGACUGAGACACGGCCCAAACUCCUGCGGGAGGCAGCAGUAGGGAAUCGUCGGCAAUGGACGAAAGUCUGACCGAGCAACGCCGCGUGAGUGAAGAAGGUUUUCGGAUCGUAAAACUCUGUUGGUAGAGAAGAACGUUGGUGAGAGUGGAAAGCUCAUCAAGUGACGGUAACUACCCAGAAAGGGACGGCUAACUACGUGCCAGCCGCCGCCGUAA
rnacentral:rRNA from 1 species